UAUUGGUCAAUGGCCGGAAGGCUGAACCAGCCAUGCCGCGUGAAGGUCAGUGCCCUAUGGGCGUUAAACUUCUUUUGUGCGGGAGCAANNAGGUCCACGUGUGGGCCGACGAGAGUACCGUACGAAUAAGCAUCGGCUAACUCCGUGCCAGCAGCCGCGGGAAUACGGGGGAUGCAAGCGCCAUCCGGAUUUAUUGGGUUUAAAGGGUGCGUAGGCGGUCCGGAAAGUCAGCGGUAAAAGCCCGGGGCUCAACCCCGGCGAGCCGUUGAAACUGUCGGACUAGAGACGGCGAGAAGUACGCGGAAUGCGCGGUGUAGCGGUGAAAUGCGUAGAUAUCGCGCAGAACUCCGAUUGCGAAGGCAGCGUACCGGCGCCGGCCUGACGCUGAGGCACGAAAGCGUGGGUAUCGAACAG
rnacentral:rRNA from 1 species